rnacentral:misc_RNA from 1 species
GAGGCAUUUAUUGUAGAGAAGAGGAGAAUUAAAGGAAUAUUCACAGAAAACUUGGAGUUACAAGACUUCCCGUUUGAUCUUCAGGACCUGAGUAUUGUGCUGACGUCAGAACAUCCGGUCGAGGAACUGGAAAUCAUCGAAGACGACGAACAUUUGAGCUCCAUUAUCGUUUCUUGUUUUGUUGACGAACAGGAAUGGGAACUGCGAGAGUUUGUAGAAUCAGAAAUAAGGAAAGUGUCAAAAGAGUUUACAGGGUCCAAAAACGUAGUCUAUCCAUUUCUUGUCUUCAAAACUUUGGCCAUGAGAAGGGCUGGUUUCUUUGUUUGGAACAUCAUCUUGAUCAUGACCAUCAUUAGUUCACUGUCUUUCGCCACAUUUGCUGUCAAUAGAAAUCUUCCACAGAAUCGACUUCAGUUGGCCUUCACCCUGACCCUUACAGGGGUCACAUUUAGAUUUGUAACCAAUCAGCAACUUCCAAAGAUAUCGUAUUUAACAAGAUUGGAUAAGUACAUCCUGUAUUGUAUGGUCUUUAACUACCUGGUUACCGCAUGGCACGCCAUUGUGACCUUGAUCUCUGAUGAUGAUACCCAGGCGGACUAUGACCUCUACUUCUUCAUCGGCUUUGCCGUCUUCUACGCCCUGUUCCAUAUCUUCUUCUACGCCAUUUCUUUGAAAACCAGAUAUUUUAAAGUCAAAGAAGUUCAUCAAAAAGAAAAGAUGUACCAGGAAAAAGCAGAAAAGUUAUUCGGAGAAAGUUGGAAACGAAGAAAGAACAGAGUCAAUCGAAGGGAGAGGAUAGCGGCCCUACCGUCCACGUUUUCUAGAUUUUGAUGUUGUAUUUGAUAACUAUCUUGCGAUUAUUUAGUUUAAAAGAUUGUUUCUUUGUUGUUGUUUGCUAUCAAUUUUACAUAGGUUGUGAUUAUAUUAAACAGUUCAUUACCUUUGGGUUUUUUAAAACCAUUUUACAAGCAUGUUUAGAAAUUCGUUUUUUGUUUGUGUUAUUUAAACUAUUGAUGGAAUAAAUAC